AUGUGCAGUGACCAGCCACCAUGGUGCAUGCAUGGAUGGGACCCGUCUUCUAAAGCUGCACAGGUUCGGAGGUGCCAGUUAGCUUGCCAGUAUCCAUUCAAAUGUUAUGACUGGCAGUGCAAGGACCAAGUCUGCAAUAGACACUCAUUGGCGUACCAGCCAAAUGUGGUACGCAUCCAGCAGAAACGCAAGAGGUGUCUGGGUGUGCUGCAGGGAACACGCAUCAGUGUUGCUGGGACAGACAGUUCAUGUUUGAGGAGAGGCGCAUGCACGGACCAAGGAUAUGAAAAGCGCGUCACGUGUGCACUCAGGGCUCUCUCUGUGGCCUUCGUUACGGCCAGUCCUGUCUCCUGUAAAAGCGCAUCUCGACGCCUUGUGUUUUUUUACACCUGUAAAUAUGUAAAUAAAUUGUGUGUUUCUGUCGUCAAGAA